rnacentral:tRNA from 1 species
GCCUUCGUGGUGCAGUGGUCAGCACACUCGGCGCGUAUUCGAGAAAUCUGUGGUUCGAAUCCCGGCGAGGCU